rnacentral:rRNA from 1 species
ACAGGGAUUGCCCUAGUAACGGCGAGUGAAGCGGCAACAGCUCAAAUUUGAAAUCUGGCGUCUUUGGCGUCCGAGUUGUAAUUUGCAGAGGGCGCUUUGGCAUUGGCAGCGGUCCAAGUUCCUUGGAACAGGACGUCACAGAGGGUGAGAAUCCCGUACGUGGUCGCUAGCCUUUACCGUGUAAAGCCCCUUCGACGAGUCGAGUUGUUUGGGAAUGCAGCUCUAAAUGGGAGGUAAAUUUCUUCUAAAGCUAAAUACUGGCCAGAGACCGAUAGCGCACAAGUAGAGUGAUCGAAAGAUGAAAAGCACUUUGGAAAGAGAGUUAAAAAGCACGUGAAAUUGUUGAAAGGGAAGCGCUUGCAGCCAGACUUGCCUGUAGUUGCUCAUCCGGGUUUUUACCCGGUGCACUCUUCUAUAGGCAGGCCAGCAUCAGUUUGGGCGGUUGGAUAAAGGUCUCUGUCAUGUACCUCUCUUCGGGGAGAACUUAUAGGGGAGACGACAUGCAACCAGCCUGGACUGAGGUCCGCGCAUCUGCUAGGAUGCUGGCGUAAUGGCUGUAAGCGGCCCGUCUUGAAACACGGACCAAGGAGUCUAACAUCUAUGCGAGUGUUUGGGUGUCAAGCCCGAGCGCGUAAUGAAAGUGAACGGAGGUGGGAACCUUUCGGGGUGCACCAUCGACCGAUCCUGAUGUCUUCGGAUGGAUUUGAGUAAGAGCAUAGCUGUUGGGACCCGAAAGAUGGUGAACUAUGCUUGAAUAGGGUGAAGCCAGAGGAAACUCUGGUGGAGGCUCGCAGCGGUUCUGACGUGCAAAUCGAUCGUCAAAUUUGGGCAUAGGGGCGAAAGACUAAUCGA